AUACGGAGGGUGCAAGCGUUAUCCGGAAUCACUGGGUUUAAAGGGUGCGUAGGCGGCUAAAUAAGUCAGAGGUGAAAUCUUCCUGCUUAACGGGAAAAUUACCUUUGAAACUGUAUAGCUUGAAUUAAGUUGAGGUUAGCGGAAUGUGACAUGUAGCGGUGAAAUGCAUAGAUAUGUCAUAGAACACCAAAUGCGAAGGCAGCUGGCUAGGCUUAUAUUGACGCUGAGGCACGAAAGCGUGGGGAGCGAACAGGAUUAGAGACCCUAGUAGUCC
rnacentral:rRNA from 1 species